UUAGAUAUUUCAUACAAUUAAAUCCAAAAUCCAUUCCCAUGAUGUCCCAUGUGAACCCUAGCAUUACCACGCCUCACCUUACCGAUCAUGUUCUCCAUCGCUUUCCCGUUGUGCAGAGAGAUUCAAGACGAAUAUGCUUCCAUGAUGGUGAAUCCAGAACUAAAGUUGAAUUUUUGUUCUAAAAAGUGCGCAAAGAGUUGCCAAGAGUGACGUAAGAAUGGUCUCAAGUUAAUUCAGUAACAUGUCAUUGCGCAAUGCUGAAUAUUCAAAAGCAAAACAUCUCUGAAUACGAAGAAGAAAACCUUAACUGAAUGUCAUGAGAAGAUUGUGUUGCAGAUUUUGUUGGUACUUAAUCAAGUCAGUACACCUAAUUACUAUGAGUUCAAAUGUUUACAAGACUUGCAAUGAGAGAUUUUCCUAUAAGAUAUUAUUCUUUUAUAGAUUCAAUGUUUGUGUACUUUGUAUGUAAAACAGUUGAAUUAUGCAGACAUCUUUGUUGAUGUUUCCAAUGCGUAGCAAAAAUGUAACAUUUGUUAUUUGUCGUUAUUUUAUUAUUUAUCGUAAUUUAUAUCUAAUUUGUGU